AAUUGGCAGUGUGAACCAGGCUUAAGCUACGCUUGUGCCAUUAUACGUACACGACUUAAGGGGCUGUUCUUGUCCGGGUUGAAUCGUGUCAUGAAAAUUUUUCCUGGCCAUAAAGGUCGUUUCAAUGAACUUUAAUUACUUUAUGCAGUUACUGGAAUCAAACCAAGCUAAUUCAACUUUGAAAUGUCAUUUUGGGUGUUUAAAGAAUCUGUGAUGAGGGCUUUAUUAUUCCGGUUAACCAGCUCGCAUCCAUAUGAACAGCUCCUAAAGUGCAUGUGUAUUUUUAGUAUAACAUACGUAAUUUUUUAUAUAUACAAUAGAUUUUCAUUACCGUAUUAAACGUAUCCUAGACCUCUAUUGUAAUACUGUAACUUAUUACUAAAUACAUGUAGGAUUAAAUAUUAUAACGUCAUUGAACUAUG